UGCGUAGGCGGCGCGGUAAGUCGGGUGUGAAAGCCCCGGGCUCAACCUGGGAAUUGCAUUCGAGACUGCAUAGCUAGGGUGCGGAAGAGGGAAGCGGAAUUUCCGGUGUAGCGGUGAAAUGCGUAGAUAUCGGAAGGAACAUCAGUGGCGAAAGCGGCUUCCUGGUCCAGCACCGACGUUCAGGCACGAAAGCGUGGGAGCAAACA
rnacentral:rRNA from 1 species